rnacentral:rRNA from 1 species
GACGGGACCCCGCACAAGCGGUGGAUCAUGUUGUUUAAUUCGAUGAUACGCGAAGAACCUUACCAGGUCUUGACAUCCCCCGCGAUGCUUUAGAGAUAAAGCGGGGGUAUUCGGGGAGACAGGUGCUGCAUGGCUGUCGUCAGCUCGUGUCGUGAGAUGUUGGGUUAAGUCCCGCAACGAGCGCAACCCUUGCCUUUAGUUGCCAGCAGUUCGGCUGGGCACUCUAAAGGGACUGCCGGUGUUAAACCGGAGGAAGGUGGGGAUGACGUCAAGUCCUCAUGGCCUUUAUGACCAGGGCUACACACGUACUACAAUGGCCGAUACAAAGGGCAGCGACACUGCGAGGUGAAGCCAAUCCCGUAAAAUCGGUCUCAGUCCGGAUUGGAGUCUGCAACUCGACUCCAUGAAGUUGGAAUCGCUAGUAAUCGUGGAUCAGCAUGCCACGGUGAAUACGUUCCCGGGCCUU